rnacentral:rRNA from 1 species
CCUACGGGAGGCAGCAGUGGGGAAUAUUGGACAAUGGGGGCAACCCUGAUCCAGCCAUGCCGCGUGAGUGAUGAAGGCCCUAGGGUUGUAAAGCUCUUUUGUGCGGGAAGAUAAUGACGGUACCGCAAGAAUAAGCCCCGGCUAACUUCGUGCCAGCAGCCGCGGUAAUACGAAGGGGGCUAGCGUUGCUCGGAAUCACUGGGCGUAAAGGGUGCGUAGGCGGGUCUUUAAGUCAGGGGUGAAAUCCUGGAGCUCAACUCCAGAACUGCCUUUGAUACUGAGGAUCUUGAGUCCGGAAGAGGUGAGUGGAACUGCGAGUGUAGAGGUGAAAUUCGUAGAUAUUCGCAAGAACACCAGUGGCGAAGGCGGCUCACUGGUCCGGUACUGACGCUGAGGCACGAAAGCGUGGGGAGCAAACAGGAUUAGAUACCCUAGUAGUC